UAACGGUGACAGUGACAGGGGCGGGGGCGGGAAGCGUUUCGGUAAACGGCUGUCUGAAGAGUUUCGAAAUACCUCUGACCACCUCCAGGCGUGUUCGGCAAAUCCAGUAUUGGAGAGUGAAGGCAUUACCAGAAUUAUCCGAGCAAAGGAUUGGGUAACGUUAAUGUCGUUCAGCUUCAUGGGAAUGAUCGACCUUGUUAAUCUUCAUUCGGGAAUUGUGGCAUGAACGUUUGAGUAAAACCCCUGCCAGGAUGGGAAGGUUUGUGCAGUGACCACCCUCUAGUCAAAAGGGUUCAUAUUUUUUGUGGACUGUCACUUUAAAACGUCGGGAGAAUGAGACUGACUUUUGGACACUGUUUGAGCGGCGAGAGAGAGAGAGAGAGGUGGAGUUAUUUGAUGAACAAUCGAUAUUGUGGUUUCUCUGCAGCUUGUUUUGAAUAUACGAGGACACACAGAAGAAAAGGACACGCAGACGCACUAAGGUGUGGUGAAAUUACCACUACACUUCCAGGUGCCCAGAAGUGUGGGUCUGAGGACCGAUUAAGAGGAAUCGAUCUGCGAUUAAUUAGUGUGUGAAAGAGCGACCCUGUGAAGUCUACCAGUGUGUCUAACCCUUGCCUGAGUUGGUAGACUAUCACUUGAAGAUGGCGCUCUUAAGUUGGUCAAGUUUGGCUAACUUGGAAGUUUCGGAGAACAACAGGAAGAAUUGUCGGCAUCGGCUUACGUGGACAACAAACCACCUCCCUCUCUCCUCAAUUCUACUCAACUCAAUAUCAUGAACUGAACUGACUUCGCUUACGUCUCAUCAUAAGACUAUA